GAAGAGCCGUGGGUUUCCCCCCCCCCAAGACGGGUGUUUUGUGGAAGGGCUGAGUGUUUUUCAAGGCGGUCAGGCGCACGGACGGGUCUCCCCGCUCAGCGUGAGGAGGUUAUGAACUUUCCCGCAGAGCACUUCGCAUCUGCAAGGAGCCGUCGCCUUCUCCCCCAUGCAGCAAACUCUGCCUGUAGCAGCGGUUGUCUGGGAAAUGAGUAUGUUUUCUAAAUGCGUGCAUUCCUGCGUCUGCGUCGCAGAGGACAGGCUGCCUUAGGUAACUGGAUUGAUCGUUACAGGUGGACUACAACGCGGCACUUAUCCAGAAAGGAUGGAGUUAGUUACUUAUUCAAAAAUCUCACUCCGUAGAGAAGAAUGUGAACUCCAGUUAGUUUCUCAAUCCAGUGUAUUUUCGUUUGGGUUCCUUUGGCUGCAUCAGGCAAGCCCUAACUGAGAACUUAACUUUGUUCUGCAAGGUAAUGUAGCAAUAACAUAAUUGUAGAAUCUUGUGUAAUAAAUAUUAUCCUUAAUAAUAAACCUCACAUUCUUAAUUUUGUCAA